AUUUUAUUUUUGUUUACUUCUUUGACUUCUAGUAUUGGCGUAUAUAAUUUAAGGUUAGAAAUUAGUAUUAGGUUAAAUAUUUAAGUAUAAGUCAGCUAUGGAAAAACGAUAGGAGAAGAAUAUGAAAAGCAGAUCCUCUCUCACAUUGAAGACGGAAAACUAACUUUUCAAAAAUGGCCAGUUUAUCCUGCAAAGUAUUGAAAUAUUAAUUCAACACCACUGAUUAAACAUGAUAAAUCGCAAGAAGACUUGGUACGGCACAUUCUAUUGGCCAAUUACCUCUGGAUGAGAAAGAAAAGAAAUUUGAUAAAACAGCGGAACCUUUUCUUGUCGAAUUUGGAAUUGAUUUAAAUAAAACCAAUUGACCCAAACGGAAAGAAAAACAAUUGGGGAAAAAGCAACUCAUUAUCGACUAUAUUCAAAAAUCAUCCUUGUCGAGGCAGAAGAAGUUCUACAAACGGAGAGCAAAUCGAAAAGUCAGAUUUGGGUCUAAGAAAGAUGAUGCUGCGUGUGAUGGACGUGAAGAGUAAAGUAAUUAUUUACUAUGAACUGCUGCUGCCGGUCAAACGAUUGAUUAAAAACUUCACUAUCAGCAAGUGGAAAAAUUGUGCCAAGCCAUCGAAAUUGAAAAACAUAUUGAAUUACUAUUGAUGAAUUGACAGAACCACAAUAGUUGUAAUUUCGAAAAGGUUAAAGAGAAAGUUGACAGAAAGAGUUUUAAUAAAAUAGAAAUACAACCACUAAGAAUGAAGUUAUAUAAUUGCCAAGCUUCGUUCUUGCUAGUUGUACUUUCAAUUUAUUAUUCUUUCACAUACGCUACAAGCGUAGCAUUUAUACGAUACGUUGCAGGAUCUGGAAAUUGUUUAUCUACAAGCUGAGAGGAAAGAAAUAAAUGAAUACCAUCGAAUUCGAUUGGUUUCAUAAAAGAUCAAAACGAAAGUUCGUUUUCACGUCAUCUAAGAGAGUUUUUCCCUACGUUUUUUCCAAACGCUUCAUUAUGUUUUACGUUGUUCACUUUAUAUUAUAUAUUAUUAUAAUUAUUUUAAAGAAAACAUUCGACGAAGUUUUACUUUUUUCUUGUAAAUUUA